UUGAACGCUGGCGGCAGGCCUAACCCAUGCCAGUCGAGCGGAUGAAGGGAGCUUGCUCCUGGAUUCAGCGGCGGACGGGUGAGUAAUGCCUAGGAAUCUGCCUGGUAGUGGGGGAUAACGUCCGGAAACGGGCGCUAAUACCGCAUACGUCCUGAGGGAGAAAGUGGGGGAUCUUCGGACCUCACGCUAUCAGAUGAGCCUAGGUCGGAUUAGCUAGUUGGUGGGGUAAAGGCCUACCAAGGCGACGAUCCGUAACUGGUCUGAGGGGAUGAUCAGUCACACUGGAACUGAGACACGGUCCAGACUCCUACGGGAGGCAGCAGUGGGGAAUAUUGGACAAUGGGCGAAAGCCUGAUCCAGCCAUGCCGCGUGUGUGAAGAAGGUCUUCGGAUUGUAAAGCACUUUAAGUUGGGAGGAAGGGCAGUAAGUUAAUACCUUGCUGUUUUGACGUUACCAACAGAAUAAGCACCGGCUAACUUCGUG
rnacentral:rRNA from 1 species